CUACCACCUACGAGCUAAGCAUAGUAGUACAGUUAACGUGACUCAGGUUGAUGCUAGUGGGCUCAGGCAAAACACUAUUUUGGUGUGUGCUACUUGCCUACCUGUGGAUGAAACCAAAUCC